AUGCCUUGUGAACCAAUAGCUAUUUUAUUAUUUUAUUUAUUUCGAAAACUAUUGAACGGUGGUUAUUCGGUCAGGGAUCGAGUCCUACCGUGCAUUACUGUGUUUUAUUUUGAGACUGCACAUCAGAUUUUUCCCAUCCGUUUACCAUUCGACAUGAGUCUACGUAACAAAAGCAUUCUUUUAAUCUUCCUCAUAACAAACUCAGUUCUUCAAACCGUGCAAGCCGGGAGACUGUCUGAAUCAGACAGUGAAUUCAACUUAUCGGAAUAUCGAGAGAAACUUGAAGAAGCUCAUCCCUAUUUCUUCAAUGCUGCGCCUGAUUUUGAUCCAACUCCUUCUGAACUAAAUCAAGAUGAAGUUCGCAGAGCAUCUGUCCGCCCACAUCACUCCGGAAUGGAGGAAGCAGUACAUAAAUUAUGAUGUAAGUUUCAUAUUUUUUUCUAACCUCCUGAAAGAAUUACUCCUUUAGAAUACGUAUACUGCUGCUGUUAUUUGAAUUACUACUACUGAUACUCAGCUCUGCGCAAAAAUUAUCCUCGGUAAAACUUCUAUCAUCAAAACCUACAAAAUCUAUUGUAUUUGCUCAAUAUCUUCUCUUCCACCUCAUUUUUAGAACAAUAUCCAACCAAAAUAUCAACUGGAAAGUCCAUUCGGUUUUUACCAGCCACAAAAAAUUUGUAGUAAAACUCGGAGGGUAUGGAUUCGAUCGACAUGAAUCGAUCGAAAAAUGAUUUUGUUUCCUUUUUCAGGCUUUCUAUUAUUUUGCAAUCAUAGAAGACUUCAUCCUGCGAUUUACCUGCGGUGUUUUUCAAAAAGAAAAAAAUGUUUUUACCUGUCUAUUAACUAAUUUUUCUUUUGAAUCUAACUAUUUUAAAAAUAAGUGACUUUGAGUUUCUCCUGUGUUCUCAGUGGGAAUAGUAAUCUGCCUAAUGAUGGAAAAAAGUCUGAUUUUUGUUCCUUUUUUCAGGCUUUCUAUUAUUUUGCAAUCAUAGAAGACUUCAUCCUGCGAUUUACCUGGCUUUACAGUUUUUGGCUGACAAAUCAUGGUUAUGUGUCCGCUGAAAUGAUGACCACCAUAACAGCACCACUCGAAGUUUCAGGUGUGUAGUUGAUGUAUGUCACUUGUCAAAUAUGUGAAUUGGUAGGUCAACUGAAAUCAAGAACUGUAUGUGCUGUUAGAAAUAGAAUUUAGUAUGUAGGUAUGUACAGCACAGAUAACGUAAUCAUCAGGUCUUGCUUAAUAGCUGGACUGCUGGAAAAUGCACUUUUGAAACCUAAUUUUCUCAAGAUUGGCACUGUAAAAGUUCAAUUUUAAAAGCUCAUUUAAUACGCAAAUCAUAAAACAACAUCAAAUGAAAAAAUCUCGUUUAGCUGGCACCCAUUUUCUUGGUAUUCCAUGAAUAGCUCUACAGAAAUAUUUAGCCAAUAUUUAAACAAUAUUGUUUAGAUAUUUAUGCAAACAUUGGGCCGAUAUUGGUUAAAUAUUGAGCCAAUGUUAAAAGUGUACACCAUAUUUCCUUUUGGCAUAAAUACUGUGCCUAUACUUUAAAAUACUGUGAAAUACUGUGUCAAUACUGUGAAAAUAUUUUUAUAAUAAUUUGGGUAAACAUAUUAUUUUUAAAAAUACUAAAUAAAGAUUCUUCAAAUAUUUUUAAAAAAAUAAUUUUGAUUGAAAUAUUAUCAAAAUAUUGUCAGUAUUGUGUAAAUAUUGUGACAAUACUGACAAUAUUUGCCCAAUAUUGCAAAAAUAUUAUGUCUUAUCUGGGGCUGUUUCUUUACUGCGGAGGUUAAAUGCUCUGCGGUUACUUUAAGUGAAUGCAUGAUUCAGGGGUUUUUUUUGCAGGCGAUUUGUGUGGAACUUUUUCCGAUUGGAAAACGAGCACUUGAACAACUGUGGUAAAUUUCGUGCCGUCCGUGAUAUUUCCAUCGCGCCCAUUGACUCCUCAGACCAAACACAAAUAGUGCGGAUGAUGGACGAUGACUGUUUUGUUACCAACCGCAAAGUCAAAAAACCUAAUACCAAAAAUCAACAAAAGAAGACAAGAGGCCACUUCUGAUCGUAGAUGAUAAUCUCAGUGAAGCAGCCUCAUUCCAAACCCUAUGAAUGUGAUAUUUCUUUAAUGUUUAAGUGCGGAUGUGUGGUCUAGAAGUUGAUCAUUGUACUGAUGUACUAAGAAAAAGCGCUUUAUGAGCCUUCAGAUGUCGCCAAAUUCCUUUGAUGAAGUAAGAAUUUUCAAGGAAACUUGUGAAUAUUUUCCUUCCAAUUAAUCAGAGAUAUUCAUCUGCAAUCGAAUCUACAGCAUGUGGAAAUUACAAAGAAAAAUAUUCAAAGCUUUCCUUCAAAAUGAAUGUUUCAGAACGAGGUUGCCACAGUCGAGAAAUACUAGGAAAUGCCAGGAAAUUUUAAGAAAUCAGGGAAACCGGGAAAUGUCAGGGAAAGUGACGAAAGUUCAGGGGAAAAUUGUUGAGUCACCUUUAUUUGCUUUCUAGAAUGGGUUUAAGUUUUCCAACUACAGAUUUUGCGUGAAAACUAUUUCAAAUUAUGUCUAUUUAACUAUCUGUCAUAUCUUCAAUUGUCAGGGAAUUUUAUGAAAAGGGUCGGGGAAGUCAAGAAAAUUGCAGGGAAUUUCAUCUUCUAAAUUCUGUGGCAGCUUUGUCAGAAAGGGAGAUUUGGCAACAACCGGAUUUUCAUACAGCAUUCUUUUAUAGCACAGCAGCCUAAGGGUGCUCACAAGUGUUGGCGGUAUGUUAUAAUUUUUCUAUGGCCAGAAGCUGUAGUACCUGAUGUUCAAACCAAAGUGCAAAAACUUACGGUGAAUCGAGACUUUACUUUGACAUGUAUCUAACUCGUUUUAGUUUAUUGAUGAGUCUUUUCAUUAAUUUCUCCAGUUUUUGAAGUGCUGGUCUUUGCUGCUAGAUUCACGUCUUUUAAUGGAUAUCUAAGGAGAGCCGAAAGAAAACAAGGAAACAGUGGAAACAAGGCUAAAAUACAUAAAAGUACUCGGGGCGUUUUGGUGUCUCACGACACCAUUAUCCCAAUGUUGAAAUAUUAAGAUACCUAUUUUUCAACGGAAGCUGUUGGAAUAUCGUAAUGUUGCAGCAAUGCAGAACAAAUUGAAAAAAAUACUGAUUUUCACCAAAAAUAGUGCCUGUGCUACCGUUUGAAUCAAAGGAGCUUCUAUUAAUUAGUUUAUUUUUACCUUAUACGGCACAAAAUACUCAAGAUCCACGAGCUCUAAUGCCCAUUUCUCCCCAUCAGGUGCCAUAGUUGUUUUUCUCAAAUAAGUUUUGUUGCUCAUUUACUUUUCUUCUGCUGCCAAUUUAAAACCAGUUUUUGACACCUUUCAAGGAGGCUUCUUUGAAGACCAAACUCGGAAAAAUUCUGUGACUCAUGAAGUGCCUCACAUGACAGGUUAUAAAAUUUAGGGUACCUUUAUAGACAGAGUAUGGUCAUCUCUGUUCCGGUUUUUCAUUGGUCGCGUGAAAAUAGGCUGACACGAUGUUCUUACGGCCGUAAAUAAACAAACAAGAUGGCUGUUAUCAGCAAGCAAGAUUGAGGUUAUGCACAUCUUACAUCCUCCUGUGAUAAAGGUAAAAGGCGAUUUAACAAUGUUUUCACGUGUUUUUCGUGUAUUAUUCGUAAAUAUGCUAGUUUAAAUUGUUACUGCCGUUUAAUUGAAAUUUUUGUCAAAUUUAGCUUCUUAUCGAUGUUACGGUGAGCCGCCAUCUUGUUUGUUUAUAUACGGCCCUAGGAGCAUCAUGAAGCCUAAAAACUCGUUGACCAAUCAAAAAGCGGAACAGUUUUCCUGCAUUAAAAAGAUACGAAUGGUCAUACUCUGUCUAUAAAGGUACUCUAAUAAAAUUUGGAUGAUGGUUUUUCAUCUCUAGAACAGUUUGUAUAUUUUUUAAAAUUUCGAUUUUGAGUGAUGAUUUCCCGACCCUUAUUUUGCAUUUAAUUUUUAGUUAGGAAAAUUGAAUGCUGUUAAAAUGACCGAUUGUCUCCUUGAAAUGCAUAUUAUGGUUUAUCAGAUAUGCUUUAGCGUCCAUUGUCCUCCUGUAAGCUUCCAAUUAAGUUUGCCUUAAGUCAUUACUGUAAACUAUUGGAAUAUGUUAGUUUAAGUUUCUUAUGUACCCAAGAUUCAAAAAAUUUUUGAUGACAUUGUAGCGUGAGUAAUGGUGCUCCUUAAUUUUUCUUGAUGAAUUAAAAAAUUCUCUACUUUCAUAAUUUAAGUUUGAAAAAUUAGUCUACUUUAUCGAAUGAAAUCCAGGUAUAAUGAGCCUAAAAAAUGUUCCAAAUCGUCCAUUAGUUUUAAAGUUUCAUUUACCUGUAUUUUUAGCAUUAGUUGUACAUUGAUAAAUAAAAUUUGUUUUGUAUGAAAUGAAGUUCACUCAGAUUUUAUUUACCUCAGUCUCAUUCGAUCUAUUCUUCAUUUCAUAAUUAUUCUGUCACAGAUAAAUUAAAUCAUAUCUUCACAUUUUUUCUUAUAAUUUUAUUUUUACUAUUAAAUAGAGUAAUAAGUUCUUUUUAAUGAAAUGAAGUUUCCUCAACCUUAUGGGUGUUGUCAUAUCUGGAGAGUGAAACUAGAAAAUUCGUAGCUCAGUUUGUGAAGUUGUAUACUUCUGAGACUAUAUUUUAUUUUAAGAGCCAAAAAUGAAACUACUCAUAUUUAACUUGUUAAAAAACAGGAUUGUAUUUUUUCUCACUUGCCUACAAGUACUCCCCAGAAAAUAAUAUAUUUUUGUUUCAAGAAAAAAUUAAGUAAAGUAAAAAAUGAGCAGGUAGAACUUACUCUGAAGGUUUAGGAAAAACAUUACAUGCAAGAAUAUAAAUCAGUUACUUUGGAAAAAAUAAUCAAAAUCCGUGGUCAAAUAGUUGUUUGUUACGCCUACCCUAUAAACAAACUCAAAUAUCGAUGGUUCAUUCCAUGCGAAAAGGAGCUAUUUACCU
rnacentral:lncRNA from 1 species